rnacentral:misc_RNA from 1 species
UUUCCGUAGGUGAACCUGCGGAAGGAUCAUUAACGAACAAAAGAUUGUAGCUGGCUAUUAGUAACAAUAGCAUCGUGCACGUCUUUAAUCUCAUCCAACACACACUAGUGAACCCUAUUGUAGAUCCGCAACGAUCUAUGUCUUUCAUCACUUAUUUUAAACGUAUGUCUUAGAAUGUAAACCCAAAUUAUUACAACUUUCAGCAAUGGAUCUCUUGGUUCUC